rnacentral:lncRNA from 1 species
GGUCAUUAAAAAGGGGUUUGGUGUAUAUAUUAGAGGGUAAUUAAUAGCAAAAAAUGUAUACAAAUAUAAAUGUAAUAAGGAUAUAUAAUAGUUUAUCGCACAAAUUCUUUGAACUGCAACCCAAGGAAAUGUAUUAUUACUGUGAGGGAAAAAAAGCAAUUACAAAGCAUAUACCCAGAGAGCCAAAACUAUACAACAAGACUAAAUUAAUUACAAUCCCAUGAAAUUAAUGCCUGAAAAUGAACUUGUAAUCAAAACCUAGCUAGAAAACAGUAAGUUACAUAAAUCAAAUAAGAAUUAACUGAUGUUGCAACCAAAAUUAACAAAUAACGACAAGUCCACCAAAAGAAAUGGUAUAUUAGUAUCUGUGUGACAUGGGCGCUCAGCUUUAAUUCGAGCACUCGAGAAAAUCCCCAUUAUAAAAUUACACCAAGAAAUGAACAAGGGCCUGCUCCAAGUUUCUUAUUCCUGACCUUGCAGCUUAGCAAAAAUGGAUUACUAAUCUUCAGGAGUUGCACAAAAAAAAGGCAGAUCUGAGUGUGAAAAGCUGGAAGGAAAAAUAAAACCUUUACUUUUUCGAUAUAGAAACAUGGUUUACACCAAAACACAGCUCAUCAAUUGAUUUUUUUUUAAUAAAAAAAUCGAGUAUAAAAUUUGAAUUCAGUAGAAACUCAGAACACAAUAAUCAAGAAACUAGUAACCCACCUCAUUUUAUGUGAAAACGCAGCCAGAACUACAAUGAGAGAAAGGGUUAGAGAGAGAAGGGUUUGUUGAUGGAGUGUUUUUUGGGGUUAUUUUGGAGCUGGGGGAGAGAUUUAAGCAAGUUGGGUUUACAUAUAUAUAUAUAUAUAUAUAUAUAUAUAUAUACAUAUUGGCGAGCUCAUGUACAUAAAAUUUGUUUAUCAGUAUCAGCUCAACUCUUUUCUUUAAGUUGCAGCAGAUAAAAAACCCUUGUUAAACUCAAAACAUGUAGCUAUUUUGUUGUAUAUCUGUGUUCAAUAUGAUUAGAAAUAACAUGAAGAACAUUUAGCUUAAUUUGGAUUUUCGAGCAGAAAAAAAAUCAACCCCUUAAUUCUGUUGACGUUUUUGUAUUAAGAAAAGGACAGUUUCUUGCUGUAACUAAUUGAUUAAACACCCAAUCAAAACUACUAGACAUUCAUAAACUCAUAUAAUCCAUACACUCAUAGUACUCAUCUUCUCAAAGUACAAGUAAAAACAGCUUGUGAAUAUAAUAAACAAGAUAAUUAAGAGUGACAAUACCAAAUUCAAAAACAAUUAAAUAAACUCAAUAAACAAAUCAACAAAAUUAAUGAAGAACAUCAAUCCACUACCACAUCUAUCAAAACAAAGUACAAACAAACAAAAUAAAAUAAUUAGUGACAUUUAUAUAUUAUCAAUUGGAAACAACAUGGUAUUGACAAUUUAACACCUACAACAUUAUUUGAUCCCCAUUAUUCAAAUAACUACUCUAAUUAAAGAAACCCCAUAAAACAUAAUAAACUAAUGAAUUAAAGAUUAUCCACAAUUCUUGAUAGAUCAAAAUCAUUGAGACCAAGAAGCAAAAAUGGAACCUUAAAAUAGUAUAUACUGCUGCUCAAUCUUGUUGUUGUUGCAAGAUGACUCUGUUCCUCCUAAAGCAUUCGAUUCGAUGGUUACUUCUACAUAAACUUUGGUUUCUUUGAGAUUUGGGUCAAGGGUUUCUGAUUUCGCUACUUUGUCUGUAAUCGGUAUAGUCUUAAGCUUUCAAAAUUAGGUAUAGAGUGAAAGAAUAGGGAGGAGAGGGUUGUGAGGGAGAGGAGAGGAGACGAGAGGAGACGAGAAGGAGAGGGUUGUGAGAGAAUGGUGAGGUGUCCAAGUUUAUUUUUCUUUUAAGGGGUGUUCGAAAAAACCUA